GUCUCUCCCUCUCCUAUUGAAAAAGUGACAGUGCCAGUUGAUAUAUUAUCUAUUAUAUAUUUAAAAAACAACCUGAGGAUUGAUUCUAAAAAACAUUUGACAUGUUUCUGUGGACAUUACGGAUACUAUUUGGAAUUUUCGGCUGCGGUGUCGUGACCGCUCGAGCCUGUGGAUUUUUGAACAUAAUGUGCCAAACAAAUGGAGGAAUUUUUGAUAUGAAAUAAUCUUUAUGGAACAAAAGGAACAUUUAUUGUGUAACUCGGAGUCUCGUGAGUGAAAACAUCCGAAGAUCAUCAAAGGGAGAUACUGGUGGAGGCAGUCUGAUUUUGAGAAAACUUGUACAGCCUCAGUUAAGUGCCAACAAUCCCCAAAGACUCGGACUUGUCCCUCCUGUCCCACUACCAACCAAGCAAGAGUUUCUCAAGAAACAUCAUCAUGGGGCGGCAGGGUAGCCUAGUGGCUAGAGCAUUGGACUAGUAACCAAAAGGUUUCAUGUUCAGAUCCCCGAGCUGACAAGCAUCAAAACUGCCGGAGUAACAGAACCAUGGAUGACUUGGACAACUUGCUGCACAAUAAAAAAUUAACACAAAUCUGUCAUGUAAAAAUCCACGUUUUCAUUUGAAUUCACAUUUAAAAACACUUUACAAGGUAAAGGUGACUUUUAAACUAAAAAAAAUUAGAUUAGAUUAGCUAGAGUAGAGUUAUACCUGGGAGAGAGCAAGCUGGACAGGUAAGAGGUUGGCUAGAGUAAAGUUAUACCUGGGAGAGAGCAGGCUGGACAGAUAACACAUUAGCUAGAGUAGAGUUAUACCUGGGAGAGAGCAGGCUGGACAGGUAACAGGUUGGCUAGAGUAGAGUUAUACCUGGGGGGGAGCAGGCUGGACAGGUAACAGGUUGGCUAGAGUAGAGUUAUA